ACCACCACCUGGACCAAGUGGUGCAAUAUCUCCUCCAGUUUCCCUUCGGAGACUGCGAGAGAGUAUGGAAGGAGGUUUUACCAUCGGCCGAUCCAGAACAACUGCUCAAUCUCAUGGCCGAGCAGAUUUACCAAAGCCCCUUGGCGGAAUCUGCCACCCAAGUGCAACAUCUCACCAGCCUGUGGCACGCCAUCCUCAGGAUGGAGGACUAC